GCCCAGACUCCUACGGGAGGCAGCAGUGGGGGAUAUUGCACAAUGGGGGAAACCCUGAUGCAGCGACGCCGCGUGUAGGAAGACGGUCCUCUGGAUUGUAAACUACUGUCCCCAGGGACGAAGAUGACGGUACCUGGGGAGGAAGCUCCGGCUAACUACGUGCCGGCAGCCGCGGUAAUACGUAGGGAGCGAGCGUUGUCCGGAAUUACUGGGUGUGAAGGGAGCGUAGGCGGGGAUGCAAGUUGGGUGUUAAAUCUACCGGCUCAACUGGUAGCCGCGCUCAAAACUGCAGCUCUUGAGUGAAGUAGAGGCAGGCGGAAUUCCUAGUGUAGCGGUGAAAUGCGUAGAUAUUAGGAGGAACACCAGUGGCGAAGGCGGCCUGCUGGGCUUUUACUGACGCUGAGGCUCGAAAGUGUGGGGAGCAAACAGGAUUAGAUACCCCCGUAA
rnacentral:rRNA from 1 species